UUGCUAUUGAUGUCAAAUUAAGUCAAUGAAAAAAUUUAAAUUAAUUAAAAUUUUACAACAAGAUUCCAACAUUUUCUCUCAAUUUUUAAUUUAAUAACACUAAAAGCAAGAAUUGUUGGUACAAUAAAACAAGACGUUAGUGGGUUAAAAGAAGAGACAUUAGCUAUAUUCAUGAAAACUAUAUAUAUAAUAUUCAAUUAAUUUUAUAUCUGCAAAGCUUGUAGAAGGUAUUGGACUAAAGGUGGAUCCCUAAGGAACGUCCCCGUGGGUGGUGGUUGCAGGAAGAACAGGAGAGGGAAGUCGUUAAGGAUUUCCACUUCUGAUGUUGCUCACUCCAGAAGCUUAGGUUAUAGGGGUGCUUUCUCUAAUAAAGGGGUUUCCUCUGUUGAGUGUUGUAGCUCUUCCAUGACAUCUGAUGGUUCACUUAUUGAUCUUGCACUCGUUUAUGCAAAUUUCUUGAAUCCUCAUCAGCCACCAAAUUCCCAGAGUACUGCUGCUACUACUACUGGUUUCGAAAUGCAAGAAUUGGGUACUAGUGAUUUUGAUCCAUCUCUUGAUUUUACUACCAUUCCAAACUCAAAUUUGGAAUCAACUAGCGUUCAACUACAUGAAGACAAUCACAACAGUCUAAAUCUUGCUGGGUGCCUCGCUACUAUCUCUGGUUCUUACAUGGAAGCUCCUUUGAAUGAUAAUGUUCAUCACUUGAUGUAAGAGAGAGUGUGUCUUAGGAGGCUUACAUUGGGUGAAGACCUUCAAUAA
rnacentral:misc_RNA from 1 species